GCACAAGCGGUGGAGCAUGUGGUUAAUUCGACGCAACGCGAAGAACCUUACCAGGGCUUGACAUCCCCUGACCGCGUAUGAAAGUACGUUUUCACCCUCGGGUGACAGGGAGACAGGUGGUGCAUGGUUGUCGUCAGCUCGUGUCGUGAGAUGUUGGGUUAAGUCCCGCAACGAGCGCAACCCCUACGUUUAGUUGCUAACGCGUGAAGGCGAGCACUCUAGACGAACUGCCGUUGACAAAACGGAGGAAGGUGGGGAUGACGUCAAAUCAUCAUGCCCCUUAUGUUCUGGGCUACACACGUGCUACAAUGGCCGGUACAGACGGACGCAGAGCCGCGAGGUGGAGCAAAUCCUAAAAAGCCGGUCUCAGUUCGGAUUGCAGGCUGCAAUUCGCCUGCAUGAAGUCGGAAUCGCUAGUAAUCGCAGGUCAGCAUACUGCGGUGAAUACGUUCCCGGGCCUU
rnacentral:rRNA from 1 species